rnacentral:lncRNA from 1 species
AUGGGCUUUUGCUUCGAGAACGUCGUCUGUAGGGACUUCUUUAGCGGCCUCAGAAUCUUUGAUCUCAACUUCUUGUGUGGCUCCAUCUCCUUUCUUUGCUUCUGCUUCACUUCUAUUCAUGGCUUUUGCUCUUUUUCCUUUAUCUCUACUACACUUUCUUUCCUUACUUUUGGUUCUCUUUCAUUCAUGAUUUUGACUUCUGCUCUUGCUUUUCCUCCUCUUUUUGCUACAUUCUUCAUGGCCAUUAGCACUGCUCAACUGGUUCUCAUCCUUCUUAUAAGGAACCUCAAGCAUUGCGUCAAUAUCAAUAUCUUCUGCCAUUUUUUCUAAACACCUGUGCAGGCUUUCGGAUGCCUGUAGUGCUCAUAUUCGGAAAGUUGGCUGCUGCUAUUGCUACUAAGCCCUAGGUCCAGGCUGCAGUUCGGU